rnacentral:rRNA from 1 species
UGCCAGCAGCCGCGGUAAUACGGAGGGUGCAAGCGUUGUUCGGAUUUACUGGGCGUAAAGAGCGCGUAGGCGGCUUCAUAAGUUAAGGGUGAAAUCCCGGGGCUUAACUCCGGAACUGCUCUUAAAACUGUGGAGCUAGAGACAAUCAGAGGUGGGUGGAAUUCCAGGUGUAGAGGUGAAAUUCGUAGAUAUCUGGAGGAACACCGGUGGCGAAGGCGGCCCACUGGGAUUGUUCUGACGCUAGGGGGGGAAAGGGUGGAGAGCAACAGGAUUAGAUA